rnacentral:rRNA from 1 species
GACGUAGGAGGCGAGCGUUGUCCGGAUUCAUUGGGCGUAAAGAGCGCGCAGGCGGCUUGGUAAGUCGGAUGUGAAAUCCCGAGGCUCAACCUCGGGUCUGCAUCCGAUACUGCCCGGCUAGAGGUAGGUAGGGGAGAUCGGAAUUCCUGGUGUAGCGGUGAAAUGCGCAGAUAUCAGGAGGAACACCGAUGGCGAAGGCAGCCCCCUGGGCCAAUACUGACGCUCAUGCACGAAAGCGUGGGGAGCAAACAGG